AUCUGGGCGGCGAAAUUCAGGAUGGCUGGCGGGCUUCGCGCUUGUCCGGCCGUUUGAUGUUUUCGUCGCCGUUCGCAGACGUCGCGACCUGUUUGUCGUCGGUCCCUGCUCGGAGGAGCCGUUGUCGAGUUCGUUGUGGGCGCGUUUCGGCGCGUUUCACGGCGAAGGCGCGCGGAUCUCUGGCUGACGACGGACAGUAAGCAACGGUGUCCGACGCCGUGUCUCGUACUCGGCGUCGGUGCCGGUCGGCGACGAUUUCUUCGGGCCUCUUUCCGACCCGUCUUGAAACACGGACCAAGGAGUCUAACAUGCGCGCGAGUCGCGGGGUAUCGAGCGUACCACGGUGCGCUCGUUACGUCACGAAACCCGUACGUUGAAGGCGUAAUGAAAGUGAAUGGGGAAGAUGGCGUUUCCGAGUUCACGUUCCGCGAUCUCGUAUCGCGGCCGGACGCCCGCAUUCCCGGGGCGUCUCAACGGCUCGUCGCGAAUGCGGACGGUCGCCUUUCGGGGUGGCCGUCGGUUUGCGACGGACCGA
rnacentral:rRNA from 1 species